UACAGAGGGGGCAAGCGUUGUUCGGAAUUACUGGGCGUAAAGGGCGCGUAGGCGGCCUUCUAAGUCAGACGUGAAAUCCCUCGGCUCAACCGGGGAACUGCGUCUGAGACUGGAAGGCUUGAAUCCGGGAGAGGGAUGUGGAAUUCCAGGUGUAGCGGUGAAAUGCGUAGAUAUCUGGAGAAACACCGGUGGCGAAGGCGGCAUCCUGGACCGGUAUUGACGCUGAGGCGCGAAAGCCAGGGGAGCAAACGGG
rnacentral:rRNA from 1 species